GGAUAAGGUAACGGCUGCAACGAGCAUUUGGCAGGAUGAGAAAUGUUCUAGAUUUAACUCCUUCGUGCACAUGGUCAAUUAGGGUCGGUGCUUUGGCACAGUGAGUGAUCUUUGGAUUUGGUAACAUCAUUGGUUAUAUACUCAUGGUUUUAAAAGUAAAGAAUUAUUUCAUCUGAGGCAGACUGAACUUACACGAAAGCACUUACAUGUGCUGGCAAUGACUGCAGUGUUCUCAUUUUCGAAGAUGCUCAGAAAUGUGAAUGAGGCAACAUGAUACUGCUUGCAAGAGAUUUUAAGUUAACCUGCUGGAGUGAUUGAGAUAGAACUAUGAGUAGUUUAUCACUUAUUUGUUUAAAAAGCUGG
rnacentral:lncRNA from 1 species